rnacentral:rRNA from 1 species
UACGUAGGUGGCAAGCGUUGUCCGGAAUUAUUGGGCGUAAAGCGCGCGCAGGUGGUUCCUUAAGUCUGAUGUGAAAGCCCACGGCUCAACCGUGGAGGGUCAUUGGAAACUGGGGAACUUGAGUGCAGGAGAGAAGAGUGGAAUUCCACGUGUAGCGGUGAAAUGCGUAGAGAUGUGGAGGAACACCAGUGGCGAAGGCGACUCUUUGGCCUGUAACUGACACUGAGGAGCGAAAGCGUGGGGAGCAAACAGG